UAGCUUUCCGUUUGGUGGGCUCGGGCAUGAGAAUGCGUGGUCUAGUGCUUUCUUCCCCAUAGCGGUGCUCUUAUUUGGAAGCUAGCUGCUGGAGAAUCGGGAGGAGGAGCACCAGCGGCGACCAUUCAUGGAGUUCCUGAUGCAGCCUAUGCAUGGAUCCACUUUCCUGUAGGAGGUGGGAGAAAGCUUGGUACCGCCGCUAGUGGCGGCGGUGGCGCCUGUGCUGCUAGAGGCGGAUGUGGUACAUGCGACGUUGCAGCAGCUAGUGGUGGAGCAGGGCGUUCUGGGGUAUGUGCGCUCGGCCGUCAGUGGCGAUGCCCAGAUUGUGUCAGCCAAGCCAUCGGCGGCAGUCAGGAUGGAUAGCUCGCCACCGUCGUCGGAGCUGUCUACUGGGAAGAUGAAUCCUCGGGUGCCUGGAUGGAAUAAGAGGUUGAGGAUUGGAGCUGCUGUACCAACAGGCCUCCUUGUCCAAACCGGAUCGGUGCAUUCGAGAAGGCUGUGCGGAGUUUUGCUGAGAACCCGACUGACAAUGUUAUCACACCAGUUAUCGGCACAACAUUCGACUCGAUGGGUGAGGCGUAUGACUUCUACAAUUUGUACUCGUGGGAGAAGGGAUUUGGCAUUCGUUACAGGAAGAGCAGGCUAAAUGUGGAGAGGACCAAAAGCAUGCAGGAAAUAGUUUGUGGUUGCUCGGGCAAAGCUGGUGUGGAGAACACCAGGUCUUGUCGUUGCGAGUGCCCCGCUCUAAUAAGGUUGCUACGAGCGGAGGAAAACGGAUGGUACAUUGCAGAGCAUAGAGAUAGUCACAACCACUCGUUGUUGCCUAAUUUUGGUGAGACAAUCCAUUGGCCCUCACACAAGCACAUAGAUGUGUACACCAGGGAUCUAGUGAAACAGUUAAGGCAGAACAAUGUGAACUUAGCAAAGGUGUACAACAUCAUUGGAGGCUUCUUUGGAUCAAUGGAAAAUGUUUCGUUCACUAAGAGGUCGUUGUGUAACCUGUGUGGGAAGAUAAUCAGGGACCAUGCAGAAGAUAAUGUGAAGAAGACAAUGGAUGUUUUUGCAGAGAUAGGGGCUAAAGAUCCACACUUCACAUAUAGGGUUGAGUCUGACAAUGAGGGCAGGAUUAAGAAUCUGAUGUGGGCAAAUGGGAGCAGCAGGCUUCAGUACUCAUUUUUUGGAGAUGUCAUAGCAUUUGACACGACUUAUCGGACUAAUCUGUACGACAUGCCUUUUGGCCUAUUUGUAGGGGUAAAUAAUCAUUUUCGGAGUGUGAUCCUGGCAGGUGUGCUCGUGCGUGAUGAAACUGAAGAUAGUUUUGAGUGGGUUUUCUCAGGAUUCCUUAGAAUGAUGGGCGGGUCUCCACCGGUGACCAUACUAACAAACCAGAACCGGGCUAUGGAGCUGGCUAUCAAGAAAGUUAUGCCGGAUGCAACACACCGGUGGUGCAAGUGCAUGUGCUGAAGAAAGCAAAAGAGUCAUUGGGUAGUCUGUACACGAAGAAAAGUGAUUUCAGAUCUGAAUUUCAUAAGGUCAUAAAUCACAUCUUGACAGAAGAUGAAUUCGAGCAAGCUUGGGAGAUGUUGCUGGACAAAUACAAGCUUAGGGCACAUUCGUACAUGACAAACCUGUUUGAAAUCCGUAAGAAAUGAGCAAAGCCUUAAUUUAAGGGAGUUUUUUGUGUAAAAAUGACCAGCACACAAAGGAGUGAGAGUGCGAACCAUAUGCUUAAAGAUUAUGUGCCUCCUGGUUGAACAAUGCACAUGUUUGUUCAGAAAUACAUGAGGCUCUAGUUUGACCGGAAAUCGGAGAACUACGAAGAGAAAUGAACAUGAAUUGUCAGAAUUUCUUGUUGGGAGUGUCGUAUGUAGUUGAAGUCAUUGUGACAAACAUAUGAAUAGAGAAAUAAACAUUUACGAUUCUUGUGUACUAUUUGUGCAGGGGAGGCCGCUCAUGAGGGCAAACCUUGAAGUGGAAAGGCAUGCUAGCAAGAUAUAUACAAGAGCCAUGUUUGAACAGUUUAGGCAUAUAUUAUAUGAAUGUGGCGCUUAUCAAGUUGAAGAGAUUGAGAGACACAAGACAUAUGUCGCAAUCCACAGCGAGGCAGAGAAGAGAAAGAAAUGGUGCAGAGUGGCAUACAAGGUUAGUAUGCUAGAUGGGGGUGAUGAACUCGACUGCGAGGGUGGACAAUUUGCACAUGUGGGCUUGCUUUGCAGCCAUGUGCUGAAGGUUAGUGGACGGGCAUUUCUCCUGUGUUCUUUUACGCAGAGAUCAUGGUGAAUUAGACUGCAAGUAUUCAUGGUGAAUUAGAACCGUUCUCCAGCUCGGGAAACAAAGGUCACCACCUUGGCAGUGCAUACUGGGCAAGGGAUCAGCGGGAGCACCUGGCCGGCCUGGGAGGAAGAAGAUGAGCUUGCCAUUUGCCAUCUUCUCUGAUCUGAUUCUUACAAAGCGAGGAAGAAGAGGAUAAGGCAACGGGGGAGCAGCCCGUGGAGUCUUGUAGUGGAAGGAGCUAGGUGCGGGUCCGGCUGGACAACGGCCGUUCGGUAUCAAACGUCUGAGCCGUGGACCAAGAUUCGGUAUCAAACGUCUGAGCCGGCCCUGAAGGCGUCACGGCCGUUGCAUUGACAGCGACAGCUGGGUGGGCCACGACGUGGUAAAAAGCAGCGCAUACAUGUCCAUAUACGGACUGAAAUACCUGCAGCGGUAGGAAUCUCAGCAAAAGCUGACGGCUAUGAUAUCGAGUCCAUCUGAGCUCGAGCUCAGAAUAGGACUUUCGAACCCUAUGCCUCUUCUUCCCCCCAUCUCUUUCUCCCACCGCCGCCGCCCCAACAUCUUCUCCCUUCUCUCUGAUCCUCUCCUUUUCGCUGCCCCCCCCCCCCCACCGCUCUGGUUCUCCUUCCUCCACCCAACCCCACCUCCACGGAUGCGGACUUUUUCUACCCCAUCCUCUCCCGUCCUCAAUACCAUGGCCUCGGGCUGCUGCUAUAGAUCCGGCGCACGCAGAUCUGGGACGAAGUUGAACCCCGACACAGGUCUUGUCAGACCGGAGCUACCGUCGGGUGGCCGGUUACCACAAUUGCUCGGUGGAGGCCGCACCUAGUCGCGACUGGGUGCGUUGUGUGUGCGUGAUGACAUGGCGGCAGCAGCAGCAAUCGGUGGCUCCGGCGUGUCUACUAGUGAGAUGGUACCAAGUAGAUAUAUCCGCACAUGUUCGUCAACCGGCUGCAGAUGCGACCUUCUAUCAAUAUCUAUUUUAGAUGCAGGUCUUGGUGGCACUGCUGCAUGACGCAAAAUAGAGCUUGAGAGGGCUUGUUGCCAUGAUGGCCGUGAUGGAGCUGCUCCGUGAUCAACCAGGGGUAUCAUUGGGUAGUGGUCUACAAAGUGCUACCCAUCAUAAUCUGCGCCAGGACAUGAUAGUUGCCAUCAGGACAGUCGACGAAGAACCUCAACAGCAGCUUCAAAAGUUUAUAUGUUUUGUUGAUGUAAACUGGAUUGUACUGCUUCUUAACCUUGUUGUGUGAUAUAUUUAGUGUUGUAAAUUAUCAUUACAUGGAAGGAUUUGUAAACUGCUAUGUUGUAUAUACACACAGGAUUUUUUUGAGAAAAAUAUUUACAUACA